ACACAAGUGGCGCACACAGAGAAAAUAGUCGGCGGCAGACGGGGACGCAUGGACCUCUCCGUUUCUCCCGCUGCGACACUUUCCCCGCUCCUAAUGUGCACCCAUCUGGAUUUGGGGCCCCGGAGGUGCUGACGGUGGCUCUUGGGCUUGAUGAAGACUCUUGUUGGAUGGGUGGUGUGGGAGUGUGUGUGGGGGGAAAACACCUUGCUUGCUGCGCCCAGCCGGCUAAAAAUCAGCGGCGCAGGGAUUCUGCGUGAGGCCUCUGAGGCUUGUGGACGUAGCUAACCCCUCGGGCUGAAAGGUGUUCAUUGUGUUCCUGCACAUCGGUGUCGCCUGGACUCAUCCAACUUCUGGCACCUGUGAACAGAUGUUCCAGCUCAGUAUUAUUGGACUACAUUCCACAGUUCCUCUGAACGCCUUGUUUUUGCUUCAGAACCAGUAUGUUUGAUGUCACGCCAUCAAGUUCUCUAAUGGAUUACGGUCCAGGGUUAGGGCUGGACGCUAUGUGACGUUGAGCUUGAUUGCCCUGAAAAACGACGGGGCUCGCUUACUGGAGCAUUUAGGGUUGUCUUGUUGGGACAUCCAUUUCUAGGACGUUUCCUCUUCAGCAUGAGGAGACGUUACCUGUUCAGGUGAAUGGAUAGAUUCAAACUGAUCGAUGAACCCCUGCUGUGUGAUAGACAGACGCCACACUAUAAGAAGCAUCCCCACAUCAUAAAGCCUGAGCCGCAACGCUUCACAUACUGAGGUUUGAAUUUAGUUAUCUGAUAAACUGUCUGGAGCUCGUGGACCUCAGAAGAACAAUCAUUCAUCAGUCCAUGAAAGGUUUCUACAUUUUUCUUUUGGCCAGUCAACGUUUUCUUUAGAUGGUUGUAAUCUCUUUGGCACAUAUCACGUUUUUUUCCAGCAGCGGGACUUUACAGGAGCUUCUUGCCAAUAACUUCACACCGUGGUCUUCUAAUAGAUGCAUUAUUCCAGUUUUCAUCAAAAUAAUCAAGACAAAAGAGUCUUUGGCAUGUUUGCCUGUUCUUUAAUCAAUUUAAAUUAUGGUUUUCUUCAGCUUCCACCGUUUUGAUUUGAUUGUACAGAAUUUAGGAUUGUUAUAGAUGAGCAGCCUCUCUUCAUCUGCACUUUUUUAAAAGUUUUCCCUAUCAUAAGUUUUCCUUUUGUCAAAGUAGGCUGAUCAUCUGAACAAUCUCUGGAAUAACCCACAUUACUCCUAUUUUCAGAGAGGAAUGCUCUAUAACACCAUUUACAAAACCCUCUGGCUUUAUUGUUAAGUAAGUGACACCUGUUGUUUCACCGAUAGGAUGACCUCCAUAACUGAGUUCAGGACUUUCAGGUAAUGACUAAAUUACACAGAAUCUGCAUGUACUCAUGUUUGGGUUUGUUUGUUUACUGUAACUUCACUGUACCUACAAUUCAAUUAUUUGUAUUUUAGAAAUAUAAGUUCUCCUAAGAAACACUGAAUUAUCUAUUUAGCGGUACCUCAUUUUUGAACAUAACUGUAUUUUAACUUUUUACAAUUCAUUACAAAGAUUACAUGGAAAGUGUCUAUUCCUACAUGUGCAGAUGAUUCUAAUAGAUAAAUAAUUGUAACAACAGCAUAGAAAGGUAGCGUGACAGCGUCUUGACCUUUCCCAAGCUUAUUAAUAUAAAGAAAGUGAAAAUGUUGCUGUAAAAUUUCACACAUCUGCAGGAAUGCACAUAAGUUUAAUAGAUUGUUAAAAUACAAAAACAUGGACUUUAUCGCUUCAUAGAUGUCUACUUUUAUUGUUUGUGGCAUUUAUAAAUUAAAAAUCCUGUCUCUUUA